rnacentral:tRNA from 1 species
GGGUCUGGCGUAACACUUCCGCUGUGGCGCGCCCUGGCCAGUACUCUUAAUCAGCGGGUCCGGAGUUCGAGUCUCCGGCGGCCCACCA